CUAGGAAGUUCAUCAGAGCCGAUGGCCUUGAAUGCAGAGAGAAGAUCCCCUCAACAGAGAGAAAUCUUCCUAGCCCUUGGACUUGACCUGGCCCAGGAUCAGGGGCAGAGGGAGGGACUUUUAAGCAGAAAGUGUUAAAUGUGGUGCAGUAUGUCUAUGAAGGGUCAUGGGGCUCAAGUGCCAUCCAUUGAGCAAGACAGAGAAGAAAAGGAGUGAGGGAGAAGGCGAGCACAGCAAGAAGAACCUGGGGCGGCCAGGCCUCGGGAAAGAAGGAAACGCUCCCCAGAUGACAGAGAAGAAUCAGCGAGCCAUCUCAAGGUCCACCUAACAUGAGGUCCUUUCAUCUGUCUUCCAUCCACCCUGGAGCCUCAGCUCUCGUCUGUAGUAGCGCUUCACCACAGAGCACUCUCCCAGGCCCAGAUCAGAAAACACCACUGCACUGGUGAGAUGGUGGCAUGGGAAGAGCCAGGGCAUGUGCAACACGGAUCUGAGGAGGAAUAAGAAAGAAGAGCAUGUGAGAGAACCAGCCACGGAGGGGCUUUCCCUCAGCAGAGGUACAGCAGCACCAUAGCAGCCUCAGAACAUAAAGGCCUGUCAUACAUUUCCUUCCACCCCUGUCAACAUGGAAAGACAGACAUUUUGCCAUUUCAAGGAGGUGGUCAUAAGAAGCCAGAAAGUGUGUGUGACUUUACCAAAAGCUACUCAUCCAGGAACAAAACCACAAGCUCCACAUCCUUUCUAUUCAAGCUCCUCACACAAACAUCUUAUUUAUGUCCUGUGUCAGCCUUGGAUCUUAGGAUGCGUAUAGCUCAAGGUGAGAAAAACAAAGAUGACUCUUUUAAAGUGAACGAGGAAGCAAAAGGUUGAUAUUGUGGCUGAAGGUUUUUACACAAAGCUAGUGGGGAUGAAAUGCCGUGUCUUAAGGCCCAGAGCCAGCAGGCCCACUGAAGACAGUGAGCAUCUUACCUAGACACAGCUGGCCCAGCUUGUCUUCUUCCCAGCAGCUGGCUAAGAGUGGUGUCUCCCCAAAUGUGUUGGCUGUUCAAGAAGGAGAGAUAGGGACUUUGGGUGAGUGUCUAUAAGUUAGGGUAAGACAGGCCGAGGGUGGCUGCGUGCAUAGCAGGGAGGUACAGAAGUAGGUUUGGGAAUGUGGAAGUCUGCAGAGACAGGGGAAAAUAACAGGAGAGAAAUCAGAGAAAGUAUGAAGAAGGUUACACUGGGAGGAUGGCCAGUAUCCUGGUUUGCCUGUGGCCAAGAAGGGUUGUAUCCUAAUCCUUGAAGCUAUUGGAUUAGCAGCCUGGUCAGAUAUGCCAGACUGAACCUUGUGGACAAAGUCAACCAGAGACGGCCAGUGUGGUAGCUGGGAGCAAGAGCGUCCUGCCAGAUUGUCCUCAGCUGUCGAAUCCCAAAGCCCACAUCCUGGCUCUACUGGCCACCCCAAUAGUAGGAGGAGAAAGAGCUCCGUGGAGAGAGAUGAGGCUGAGCUGCCCAUUGCUUCUUCAAUACCAUAGGUUAUGAUGGCUAAUAAAACUGCAUAACUUGGCAUGCAGAAUGGUACUUGAGAGGCCCUCAAUGAGAGCCAGUGGUGUGGAGGCAGCUCAGGCACAGGAAAACCUUUAAUGAUGUAGACACACUACACAUGCCUGCCUAAUGCCAAAUGGGAACAUUUCAAGCUUUUCUCUAGGGUUCUUCUUUGACUCCCUAGAACACCUUGUUCCUGCCAUCUAACUGAAACAUCCCCAUGCUUUUUUAUUAUUGUCUUUGUCAUCAAUGAACACCUUUUUGCCUGCACCAAUAUGCACCCUUGGUAUUCCCAGCCAGAGCACAAGCUCCUUAGAGACAGGAACCAUGGGGUAGUCUUCAGUCCUAGCACAGAGCCUGGUUGAGGAUGCACAGGGAAUAAAUGAUGGAUGCCACAGCAGCUGCAAAAGGCCUUCUCUGAUCCCUCUUCAGACCACCUGCUACCGGAGCACAGCUGACUGACAGCCCUACCCCUUUGGGUCCACCAUGGCGUUCUGCUUAAACUGAUCCUGUUCAGUGACUGAACACAGAAGUGAAGAGUCAGCUCUUCCCUGUCACUAAUGUGUACACAUGUGAGAACACACACACAUAAUUAAAACUGAAAUGAUCAAUUUUUAAAAUAUAAAGUUCUAUAGACUGCUCGAAGGCAUAGUGGGUAGCCUUUGGUGCAAAGAGCCCAGUGACAGGUCUUUGAAGCUUUGUGGACCACAGUCUGUCUGUGACUGCUCAGUUCUGCCACACAAUGCAAAAGCUGCCCAGAGUUGUGCAUGAGCGAGUAUGACUG